AUCCGGCUGACGAGUCCUAAAUAGGACGAAACGCGCGUUCUGGAU
rnacentral:hammerhead_ribozyme from 1 species